CUAAGAAUAUUCCGCAAUGGACGGAAGUCUGACGGAGCGACGCCGCGUGGAUGACGAAGGCCGAAAGGUUGUAAAGUUCUUUUGCUGGGGAAGAAUAACCGCAGGAGGGAAUGCCUGUGGGAUGACAAGAACCGGCGAAUAAGCCCCGGCCAACUACGUGCCAGCAGCCGCGGUAACACGUAGGGGGGCGAGCGUUGUUCGGAAUUACUGGGCGUAAAGGGCAUGUAGGCGGCUUGGAAAGCCUGGCGUGAAAGUCUGCAGCUUAACUGCAGGGGUGCGCUGGGAACUGCUGAGCUUGAGUGACGGAGAGGGAGCUGGAAUUCCUGGUGUAGGGGUGAAAUCUGUAGAUAUCAGGAAGAACACCGAUGGCGAAGGCAAGCUCCUGGCCGAUGACUGACGCUGAGGUGCGAAAGUGUGGGGGAUCAAACAGGAUUAGAUACCCUGGUAGUCCACACAGUCAACGAUGUGCACUAGGUGCUGGGGCGGUAGCUUCGGUGCCGGAGCGAACGUGGUAAGUGCACCGCCUGGGGGAGUAUGCUCGCAAGGGUGAAACUCAAAUGAAUUGACGGGGGUC
rnacentral:rRNA from 1 species